CAAAGCGACGCCAGUCAGCAAGACAUGGCGAACGAGUUGAGUGUCAGACUUUUGCUCGUAAUUUUUUUUUUUUUUUACCAUUUCUACCCCAUUCCCUUGAGUGACCCUUAAUUCUUGACCCAGUGGAGGAAGAUGGAAGCAUGGACUAGUCAGCACCUUCGCCGCCCAUGUGGAAGGUGAUUACCCAUUGUGGUGCAGCUUUGAGGAUGGAUGGUGACUAGUGUGGGUGGGGUGUUUCUGAUAUCUUCCAGCUGACUGAGCCACACUUCAGCAAGAUGCCACCCUACAGUGCAGGGACCAUACUGUUAACACAGGGGACGGUCACAUGCUGAUUACAUAUUCUUCUGCCACCAUCAUGUAUCCAGUAGUGCAAGCCCCCACCAACUGCCGGUUCCAUCUUUAUUAUGCUACAUCUGGGUAAUCAAAAGUAACAAUAGACCUAAAUGCGUUGGACUCUGCAAACAUAAUAUUCCACCUGCAAGUGUGGAGAAGAUAAACUUGUGUUCCACUGGACUCGUUUCUCAGCGUUUCUAUAUUGAUAUGUGGGUGACAGUAAAGAACAGUGGCUCAGUGGCAUUUCAUGACUUCUCCCUGACUCCAGAGUGCACUGUGACUCCUGGCAUCUCAACACCACCACCCAUCUACAAGCCAUUGUCAUGAUCAGUUUAUAAUAUAGAAAGUGAAACACCUACAUGUAUAUCUUAUGACCAAGUAUGUGAUUUUGAGAAGAGCUGUCCAAAAGGUGAUGAUGAGAGCCUCUGUGGGACCACUGACUUUUAGGCAGACAUGAGUGGCUGGCAGGAUUUCAGUGACACUGCUUAUGGCUGCUGCUGCAUCAGAGGCAUAUUACCCAAAUUGUACAGCACCAAGUCUUCACCACACCAAUGGCUCAACUGAGCCUUAUUGUGUGUGGGCUCCACCAAAACUCUCAGAGUCCACCACCAUAUUGGCAUCAUCAGUUCUUGAGCCAGCAGAUUUAGGCUGUACCUUGUUUGUGGUACUAUUGUAAGGAUGAGAACCCUUUCCUGGGCAUGACAGCAUGGACUACUGGUGAUUUGAAAUAAAAAAAAUCACAGUUGAAGAGGACCCAGUUCUAUCCAGCUGUCAACCCAGUCUGUCUUCAAGUACAAGUGGAGUCCUGACAGAAGUGGAUGGCCUGUUAUCACACAGUGAAUGUUGCAGAACCUGAGCUACACAUCAGCCCAAGCUUUGUGUGGGGUGGUCUAGUGUUGCUGUUGUACUGAGGCUGGGAACACCUCAACUCCAGUGUCCAGCUUUUCUUGCCUCCUGCCAUGAAAAUAUGUGUAUAAACUUCAGAAAUUGCUUGCGAUAUUGAAAGAAUAAGUUUGUGUAAUCUGCCUUAUAAUUGUUAUAUGUAGUUUUGUUAUACAAGAACUGUUUGGCUAAAAAAAAAAAAAUAAUAAAAAAAUAAAAAAUAAAAGUAAAUAAAUAAAGGUGUUAAUCAUGGUCAGUAUCAAUUUCUCAAUAGUGGAGGAACCUGAAAAUUAGAAAAUUAGACUAAGUUUAAGCUGUCAUUUGCUCAUAGAGGCCCCCUCCCUCAGGGUUAGGGUGUCUAUACAAAAGUCCAACCCUCCCCAAGGGGAGGGAGGGGGCCUCUAUGAACAAAUGACCACUUAAACUUAGUCUAAUUUUCAGGUUCCUUCCUCCUCCACUAUUGAGAAAUGAUACUGCACAAUUAACUUUUUAAUUCAAGGUAAAAAUUAUACACUAAUUAUAAUUAUUUGUUUUUCUUUACACAUUUCAAGAUAAAGAUGAGGUGAUAUUCAAAGUGUAUUAUAUACAAGGCACAGUCUAAUUUUCAGGUUCCUUCCUCCUCCACUAUUGAGAAAUGAUACUGCACAAUUAACUUUUUAAUUCAAGGUAAAAAUUAUACACUAAUUAUAAU